GAGAACGCUGGCGGCGUGCCUAAUACAUGCAAGUCGAGCGAACAGAYGAGGAGCUUGCUCCUCUGACGUUAGCGGCGGACGGGUGAGUAACACGUGGAUAACCUACCUAUAAGACUGGGAUAACUUCGGAAACCCUAUACCGGAUAAUAUAUUGAACCGCAUGGUUCAAUAGUGAAAGACGGUUUUGCUGUCACUUAUAGAUGGAUCCGCGCCGCAUUAGCUAGUUGGUAAGGUAACGGCUUACCAAGGCAACGAUGCGUAGCCGACCGGGUGAUCGGCCACACUGGAACUGAGCACGGUCCAGACUCCUACGGGAGGCAGCAGUAGGGAAUCUUCGCAAUGGGCGAAAGCCUGACGGAGCAACGCCGCGUGAGUGAUGAAGGUCUUCGGAUYGUAAAACUCAUUAGGGAAGAACAAAUGUGUAAGUAACUAUGCACGUCUUGACGGUACCUAAUCAGAAAGCCACGGCACUACGUGCCAGCAGCCGCGGUAAUACGUAGGUGGCAAGCGUUAUCCGGAAUUAUUGGGCGUAAAGCGUAGGCGGUUUUUUAAGUCUGAUGUGAAAGCCACGGCUCAACCGUGGAGGGUCAUUGGAAACUGGAAACUUGAGUGCAGAAGAGGAAAGUGGAAUUCCAUGUGUAGCGGUGAAAUGCGCAGAGAUAUGGAGGAAAGUGGCGAAGGCGACUUUCUGGUCGUAACUGACGCUGAUGUGCGAAAGCGUGGGGAUCAAACAGGAUAUACCCUGGUAGUCCACGCCGUAAACGAUGAGUGCUAAGUGUUAGGGGGUUUCCGCCCCUUAGUGCUCAGCUAACGCAUUAAGCACUCCGCCUGGGGAGUACGACCGCAAGGUUGAAACUCAAAGGAAUUGACGCCCGCACAAGCGGUGGAGCAUGUGGUUUAAUUCGAAGCAACGCGAAGAACCUUACCAAAUCUUGACAUCUGAYCCCUCUAGAGAUAGAGUUUUCCC
rnacentral:rRNA from 1 species